GGAUGUGAAGGCGAUCUGGCUGCGACAUCUGUCACCCCAUUGAUGGCCAGAGUUGAUUCGGCUGAUCUGGCGGGCUAAGCAGUGUCCCCUUCCCAUCCUUCCUCACCACUCCGUGUGUGACCCCCCCGGAAGCUACGACCUUUCCCCAAUAGAGGAGGACCCGUCUUUGGUCAAGGAGUAGCUGAGCUCCCCUGCUAGAACCCCCAAACAAGCUCUCCAGAUAGUUUACCACUAGGGGGUUGGUUAGCAUUACACACACCCCCAUUCUGGUGUGUCCAAAAGGAGAAUGCUACUUAU
rnacentral:snRNA from 1 species